rnacentral:snoRNA from 1 species
ACUGCCCCUACAAGUGUUGCAGGUGUGGCUGCUGUGUCACAUGUGCAUCAGUUGGUGCCAGGGAUGAGAGAGGCCAUGUCUACACUCUGUCCUGACAACAUCGGAAUAAUUUGUAGCCUAACAUU